ACAAUGAUACUUCCAGAUAUAAGCUGAUCUGGUCUGAAAAGAUGGUGGGAUUCCAAUGG
rfam:Eubacterium sp. 14-2 genomic scaffold acPFD-supercont1.2, whole genome shotgun sequence.